AGGAAAAAAGGCAGCAAUCACCGAGCUUCUCAAUGAUGCUGAGGCUCCCCUCACAAAUUUAUUUCUCCAAGAAGUGGUGAAUAUGUCUUCUGGACUCUUCCAGUGUGGGUGUAAAACUUUUCCAAGAGCCAAGAGUCCUACCAGAGAAAGAGCCAAGACUGCCGUUUACCAUUAUUAAUUUGCAAAAUUUUAGGAGGAGACAGGUCCUAUGUAUUCCCAAAGGUGAGCUUUGGAUGGGCAGAAAAUGUUAAAAGUUUGAAUUGUUCUCUUCUCUAAGUGGGAAGGAAAAAUUAAAUCAGUUCCCUGGCCUGGAGAAAACUAACUAAACUAGAGACAAAGAAGAGGGGAAAGUACUCCAGCUUUUUCUUCAACUUGUCUACUGCUGCUGCUGCAGCCUCUCCCAGCAUUCCAACCAAGAUCUCACCUGACUACUGUAAUUGGUAACUGCAAAUCCUAAAUCUACAGCUGGGGAUCUGAAUAAAAUUUCAAUGAGACAAAAAAUAGUAUUCUAAAACAUCUUUGUGUCUUGUGGCUAUUGUAUCUCCAUAGAUGAUAAAGUUGAUUUAAUAUGUUAUAUAGUUGUAUUUUCAUAAUUUGUCACCAGGAUGCUAAAAAAUCAUGUUAAUGGGUUACAAUUUUCUUACUUUUUGUCUCUGUUAAGUGAAUUGGAAUUCAAAGUCUUUGACUUUGAAUAUAAAUCCCUGGGUCCCCUGGGUG